rnacentral:rRNA from 1 species
CCUACGGGGGGCAGCAGUGGGGAAUUUUCCGCAAUGGGCGAAAGCCUGACGGAGCAAGACCGCGUGAGGGAGGAAGGCCUACUGGUUGUAAACCUCUUUUGAUAGGGAAGAACGCAAUGACGGUACCUAUCGAAUCAGCAUCGGCUAACUCCGUGCCAGCAGCCGCGGUAAUACGGAGGAUGCAAGCGUUAUCCGGAAUUAUUGGGCGUAAAGCGUCCGUAGGUGGUUAGCCAAGUCAGUUGUUAAAGCGUAGAGCUUAACUCUAUAAGGGCAAA